rnacentral:tRNA from 1 species
GGACGGUUAGCUCAAUGGGAGAGCAUUCGCUUCACGUGUGAAGGGUUGCAGGUUCGAGCCCUGUACCGUCCA